AAAAAAACACCCGAGAGCUCUCUGUAGGCGAUUUCGAUGGCGAUUGAUUGCGAAUUCUUCUCGGAGCAAAUCGACGGCGGUUUCGACUGUUUUCCGGCGGAUUGGAUCAUCGAAGGGCGAAGCCCAAGGUAUGAAUGGUGGGAGCUUGAAGACCGUAGCUUUUGCUCUGAGAAAUGGACCUACAAGGACGAUCAAAGGGAGCUUGAAGACCGUUCCUUUUCGUAUAGUUAUUGUAAACCAC